rnacentral:rRNA from 1 species
CCCGACUGCUAUCGGANUGAGAUNUAGCCACGCGAGUCGNACGUCCCCCUGUUGCGGGGGGCGUGGCGUACGGCUCAGUAACACGUAGUCAACCUGCCCUGGAGACACGGACAACCCCGGGAAACUGGGACUAAUCCGUGAUAGGUCACCUCAUCUGGAAGGAGAGAUGGCCCAAAGGGGCGCGCGGGCUUCUUCUGCGCGUUCGCUCCAGGAUGGGACUGCGACCGAUCAGGCUGUUGGCGGGGUAAAGGCCCACCAAACCUGUAACCGGUACGGGCCUUGAGAGAGGUGGCCCGGAGAUGGACACUGAGAAAAGGGUCCAGGUCCUACGGGGCGCAGCAGGCGCGAAACCUUCGCGAUGCGCGAAAGCGUGACGAGGUUAAUCCGAGUGAUUUCCGCUGAGGAGACCUUUUGUCGGCUGUAAAUAGGCCGGCGAAUAAGGGGAGGGCAAGCCUGGUGUCAGCCGA